GCUCUUUAAAUAUUAAUCAGGGGGUCAUUGAUAUGCAAAUACAUUAAAGCCAAAUAAUGCUCCUGCAGCUGCAGACCAUGAAGGCAGCCUAGGCAGAAUGUGAACUCCCUCUCCAAAGCUAAUGGAAAUAUUUUAGAGCCCAGGUGCCGGAGGCCUGAGAGCAGGAUCCAUCCUAAUAAGAGUGAAACAUAAUGUUUCAGAGCUGGACAUUUUCUUUCUGUUUGGGAUACCUCUAAGGUUGGAUUGACUUUUAAGUGAAUUUUCAAUGGCCCAUGAACAAUCACGGUGAUGUCAACACCAAGUAGCCUUUCGUAUGCUAUGGUUCACUGCCCUGGAGAAGAUUGAAUGAGUUUGUGGCCGAAGGAAGUCAUUGGUGGUUCAUUUUGCUGAGGGCAGGGGAAACAGGAAGCAGUGAGGAUAGUAGAGAGGGGUGGUCAGGCCCUUGGAAAUGUGGACAAAACCAAUGUAGAUUUUGUGGGCUUUUAGAUAGAAGAAUUCUUGUGGCUGGAUUAAUUAGCAAUUUAGUCACAAGAAGCACUACUAAAAUCCAUUUCCACACACAGCUCAUAGAAAAUAAAAUGUCAAAAUUGAAAAAGGACCCCAGAGACAACCUCCUCAUCUUAUAAAUGAGGAAACUCAGGUCCAGGGUGGGGAAAUGAUUUGUCCAUAGUCAUAACAGCUAGCCUAAUGGCAGGUGAAUGGCUAGAACUCUGGUUGCUCCCUGCCAUGCAUAAUGUUUUUUAUCCAUACUGGCUCACCAAGGACAUGCCAUUUGCCAUAGAAGAAAGAUGGACAUUAUAAGACAUGAUUUUAGAGGAAAACAAAAUUAGCUGGUGGGGGAAGGAAUCAUCUUGUUUCCAGUCAUCUUAUAUCAACAGGAUGUACAUUAUAAUUUUUUUAGUCUUUACUGUACCCAGAGAAAUGAUAUUAAAAUAAUGCAAAUAAAAUUUUUGUGGUAGUAAAAAACUGGAAACCAAGUGAGAACUCAUUGCCUGAGGAAUGACUGAUUAUGAUAUUUGAUGAUGAUGAGAUUUUAUAAUUAUGAUCUAUGAAUAUAAUAAAAGACUAUGACUCUAUAAGAAAUGAUGCCUAUGAAGAAUUCAGAGAAGUAAUGGGAAGACUUCUAUAAAUGACUACAGGAUGAAAUAUGAAGAACCCAAAAAACAACCUAUACAAUGAUUACAAUAAUGUAAAUUUAAAAAAAUUAAAAGCAGCCAGAUUCUGACUAAUUGUAAGGACUAAUCUCAAUCCCAGAGAUUAAAUGAACAGAUAUAAAUGAAGAUGUAUCUCUGACAGCAGAGAAGUGAGAGACUACAUGAAUAGAAUAUUACGUAUGCUAUCAAAUAUCUUCACUG